GACGAACGCUGGCGGCGUGCUUAACACAUGCAAGUCGAACGGAAAGGCCCUGCUUUUGUGGGGUGCUCGAGUGGCGAACGGGUGAGUAACACGUGAGUAACCUGCCCUUGACUUUGGGAUAACUUCAGGAAACUGGGGCUAAUACCGGAUAGGAGCUCCUGCUGCAUGGUGGGGGUUGGAAAGUUUCGGCGGUUGGGGAUGGACUCGCGGCUUAUCAGCUUGUUGGUGGGGUAGUGGCUUACCAAGGCUUUGACGGGUAGCCGGCCUGAGAGGGUGACCGGCCACAUUGGGACUGAGAUACGGCCCAGACUCCUACGGGAGGCAGCAGUGGGGAAUAUUGCACAAUGGGCGGAAGCCUGAUGCAGCAACGCCGCGCGCGGGAUGACGGCCUUCGGGUUGUAAACCGCUUUCGCCUGCGACGAAGCGUGAGUGACGGUAAUGGGUAAAGAAGCACCGGCUAACUACGUG
rnacentral:rRNA from 1 species